rnacentral:rRNA from 1 species
UGGGAUAACUCCGGGAAACCGGGGCUAAUACCGGAUGCUUGUUUGAACCGYGUGGUUCAAACAUAAAAGGUGGYUUCGGSUACCACUUACAGAUGGACCCGCGGCGCAUUAGCUAGUUGGUGAGGUAAUGGSUCACCAAGGCAACGAUGCGUAGMCRACCUGAGAGGGUGAUCGGCCACWCUGRGACUGASACACGGCCCASACUCCUACGGGAGGCAGCAKUAGGGAAUCUUCCGCAAUGGACGAAAGUCUGACGGAGCAACGCCGCGUGAGUGAUGAAGGUUUUCGGAUCGUAAAGCUCUGUUGUUAGGGAA